UUCAUUUCACCAGCCACUUUCUCCUUCCCUCCACAACAGGCCUCUUGGACUUUGGUUCCUUGAACAGGAUCCUAAGCUUGGAAACUCUCCAAGUGACAGAAAAUUGGCAGAUUCUUCAUCGUUGAUUCCUUACUGGCUCUUUGGAGAGGAAAGGAGUUUUGCUCAGGACUUGGCGGAGCCCUUUGCUUGGCACCUUAGCCAGUAACUCAAAGUUCAAGGAACUUGACAGACAGAGGCUGUUUUUCUGGCAAGGAAUGAGCCAUUGUUGGUUAGAAGAUCAGCAGGGUUGUUGACCAGAGCGCUUAUAGGUGACCUCUCCAUGUGGCUUGAGCCUGUCACAGCAUGGUGGAUGGAUUCUGGGAGUCAGCAUUCCAGGAGUGAGCAUUCUAAGAGGAAAAAAUGAGGAGCUGUCAUACAAAAAAAAAAGGUAAUUUUUUGUUAAAAGAUAGAAUUGGGAGGUCCUAGGCCAGCCCUUAUAUGUAUGCAACUGGCAUGUCUCACUGUGCGCCACCCAUGAAACCCCA
rnacentral:lncRNA from 1 species